GGACAAGAUCUCUGCCUUGUGGAUCCUCCACCAAUUUUUUUUUAUUGUAAGAAUGACGUUAAGGAGGGAUACUGAACAAACUGCACUUCCCAAUGUUUCCAUGGACAGAAUUUGAGAGUUCAAGGUCAUGGUUAAAUUUAUUAGCAAUACUAGAUUCAUCAGGAACUGGAUGUCAUGCUCUCUCUUUUAAUCUUCAUAUCUUUAGCACCUCUCACAAUGUCUGGCAGAGAACAAGUGCUGGGAGACAAUUCUCCAUGGGCUUCUCACACUCUACACACCUUUCGAGUAGCGUCAUUGACUGCCUUUGUUCUGGACUGCUUUUCAAGGAUGUUUGUAUAAGAAAGUGCUUUGGAAGAGUGAGGAGGUGUCUCCCUCAGGAGCAAUGAGCAGGCGUGCUUACUGUUCAGUAUAAAAGAUUCCAUAAGCUCGGAGUUCCUCUCAAAUGCUGACACUGCCUGCUGCUACUGUGGUAAGCAAUCAAGUCCUUGGUCUCUGACCCGGGAGGCUCAUGACUUCUAUGCCAGCUUCUAUAGCACUACGGCAAGCUAACUUGUUAACUCGAAAGGAGGGUAAAAUCUCAUACCCUUCACAGUUCUUAAGAGUAAGUGCUCAGAAAGAAAAAAAGUUUGUUGAAUGAAUUAAUUUUUAAAAAGUUUAGGGGGCUUAUCAUUUUUAUGACUAAUCAACAGUUACCCAGAGAAAAUGUCCAAGCAGUUCUCUAGGGAAGGAGCGAUUUCCCAAUAUAUUUUCAUUAACGUACCAGUGUGUGUUAGUCAGCCUGUGUUUAUUUUAGAUAUCAGUAUUGACUUAAAAAUGUUGGCAGCGGUACGUUUGGACUUAGCUAAACGCUGAGCUGUGUGUUGGGAACCGAGUAUUUAUUCAAGCAUUACUCAGUCAUAUAGGAACUACAGACUUUGGGUAGUUUCUGCUUGCUUCUGCAUCAGUGUCCCUGAUGGAUGAGGCCAUAGUUUUGAGGUGGCUGUGUUUUUCUGUCGGUUUUAGAAUGCCUGACAAAUCUGAGCCUGGAAACCCUUUACCGAAAGGAGGUGAUCCAGUCUUUCUACAUGGCAGAUGGCCAAGCUGCCGCCUGUUACCUCCUGUUAAUAGUGACUCCAAGAGUCUGGCAGAGAGCUGGUGCCAGCCCGUGAAGAAUGAUUCCACCAGUGCCGACUGAAUUUGUGAGCGUUUGUGAUGCAACAGAAGUGGAGACAAGACAGGAGUGUGUUUGCUCUUACUGGAAUAGGCUGAAUUUCACUUCCAGAAGAGGAAAAGCUAAAAGUAUAAGGAAAGGCAAGAGCCAAAGAAGUCUCAGAGAGAGAGUUUUGCUGGGGGUGUGGACGGAGGAGUGGUGAGAGGUGAGACCCUCAGGGCCCUGCAAGGCGGGCUGUGGUUCCAAGGCCAGGUGGAGACUGGAUUUCAAGAAGUGUUGCCACAGGCUGUGUACUGAUUCCUUUGCCAGACUCUAGUAAGGAGCUUUUAAAUGUUAGAUUUUAUUUAAUUUUUGAAUAGAUUAUACAUUCACAUGGUUCAAAUCUUUAAAUGUACUGAGAGGUUUAUCAGGAAAAAGUCUCGCCAGCGCUCCAGGCCCCAGCCACCCACCUCUCAUCCAUGGAGGCCACCACAUUACCAGCUGCCUGUCUAUCUUCCGGAGGCGUUUUAUGCACAUACAAGCAGAUAGACAUUUGUAUUACGUAUUCACCCCACUCAGUUUUUAUACAGGUGGCAUCAUCCUACACAGAUUCUUCUACACGCUGCUUUACUGUCCUGUCAAUAUCUGCGAUGUUGUUUCAUUUGAUUAGAUAAAUGAUUCCCCAUUCUUUUUUUGCAGCUGCAGAGUAUUGCAGCGUAGCAACGUACAAAUAUUUUUUAGCUAGUCCACCCUUUUGGCUGCUUCCAAUCGCUUUUAUAUACAUGACACCAUGAAUUACCCUAAUCUUAACUUCUUUGGUACGGUGCACACCUUUGGCAGUCCGCUAAAACCUAUGAAUUUCUUCUCACCAUAAUGUUUUCAAGAGUAUAAAAUAAAAUCCUUAGGAUUAAAAGGAAAUCAAUUAUACUGAAAUAUAGUUAUCAAAAUAUUUUUUAUUUAGAAAUAUAUGUGCAGGCCCAGUGGUGCAGCGGUUAAGUUCGCUCGUUCUGCUUCGGCGGCCUGGGGUUCGCCAGUUCGGAUCCUGGGUGCGGACAUGGCACCACUUGGCAUGCCAUGCUGUGGUAGGCGUCCCACAUAUAAAGUAGAGGAAGAUAGGCAUGAAUGUUAGCUCAGGGCCAGUCUUCCUCAGUGAAAAGAGGAGGAUUGGCAGCAGUUAGCUCAGGGCUAAUCUUCCUCAAAUAAAAAAAAAAGAAGAAGAAGAAAUAUAUGUGCUUAUUCAUUAAUGAAUUAAAUCACAAGAUCUGGCAUGGGUCUAAUAACUACUGUAAUUUCAAAGUAUGCACGAACAUAAAUGAUAUUUUAGAAUAUCUGCAACAACUGUAAGAUGACAUAAAAGAUCAGAUUUUUACCAGUAACAAAGGCACAGGCUGAUACUAUUGUGGUUUCCUGCCUACUAAUUAAAGGAAAUGAUCAAUUUCAGUUAGAAUUUAGUGAAAACAAAAACACAAUUUUUUUCUCAUCCAAGUUGAUGAAUCUCCAAACUGUUUCUGUGCAGCCUCAUUAAGAAGCCUGCCUUACACAUACUUCAUUUUUUAAACAUUCGAGUAUGUUUGUAUAUAUUUGUAAAUUCCAGGAAGUGUUUUGCAUUAGCAAGUGCUAAUACAUUUGUAACUGAAUGCGUUUUGUCAAAUUGCCAGAAAUAGUCAUUCCGCCGGCUUUGAAUGAGGGUGUGUCAGGGAGCACUGUAAUCUUUGCCAAUCCAAGAGAUGAAAAGUAGUAUCUUGGUGUAGUUUUAUUUUGCAUUUGUCUCAUUAGAAGCAAAGUUCAGCAUCAUUUCACAGUGUCAGAGUCAUUUUUUGUAUGUUCGUGUCUGUGCUUGUUGUCCUGUUGGUCUGUGGGCAGCUCCUUGUGCGCUGCAACCAUCGAGGGGCACCAAUCUGGAGUCUUCCGUGGGAACAGCAUGCCCUGCAGCUGGCAACUCAGGGGCCCUGCUUGUGGGUCCCAGUAAAGGUUGAAAUUGCUCUCCAUUGUAUUUUUACCUCAGAUUACUGUUUCUUUGAGUCAUCCAAACAGAUUAAAACAGAAUGUGGUACCCUUAGGAGACUAGUCUUAUUUAGGUGACUAUUUUCUAAGACCAAGUCUGGAAGAGUUCCUGACCAAUUGGUAACUUGAUAACCGUAGUUACCUCUGGCAGGGAAGUGGCGUAGGAAAGGUGUGAAAGAAUUUUACUUUGACUUCUUUUCAGCUCUGAAUCUGUGUAUUAUUUGUAUGCCAUAAUUGAAUAAAAAGAAUGAAUACACGUAAUAAAAAUUCAAGUAAGACAGAGGGAUAUAAAAAGAACAGUGAAAGAAUUCCUUUUCCAACCUUCUCCUAACAUAGGAUUUUUUUUUUAAUUAGUGAGGAUGCCUCCUUUAGCCCAUAUUGUGGUUUUGAAAUACCUUUUCUCAUUACAAAGAUCCAGGGCUGCUUAGAGAAAUAACUGAUUCCAGGUCUAGAGGGCAGGAAACAUACAAGAUGAGUCUGCUGCAUCUUGUUAUUUGGGUAGCAAGGACGUUGCCAGAGACCACGAGGGCCAACGCAACAGGACUCAGGCUCCAGCCUGAGGAAGCUCCCACCGACCAGAGAGCAUCAUCCUGAGCAUCCGUAAGGACAGCACUCGCAAUGCCCUGAAGUGCAUUAUGAACUCCGUGUUCACAGUGAUAGUAAAGGAAAUAAAAAUUAAUUGGUCAUACUGGGAGGAUGCUGGGGAACCACCUCAUUAUUUUGGACACUGGUAAACCAAGAAAAAGAAUCUCGCAUUUACCCUAACUUUCUUAUUCAAACUGUGCUAUUGGGUCACCAAACAAUAGACAAGGGGAAGUUUCACUUCUUAAAAAGUAAUGCAGCUAAUCAAUGAAGAUGCAAUGAUAGAAUGUAACUAUUGGUAGCUCCCAAGGAAUUAUUUGUCUAGGCGUUGACCAUCAAAGGCUGGGAGCAAGGCCGAAAAGGAAACAGCCAGGCCUGAGUUGCCUCCCCGUGAAACAACGCAAUCCCACGUAAAAUGUUGUCUUGCCAAAAAAAGAACUUGAGUCUAACAAGGCCUCCAGGUCCGACUGCCAAUUUACAGGAAAUUUACGGGAAAUACGGACAAACGUGUUAAACAAUAUACUUUCCCGAUUGUGGGGUACUCUACAGCUUUCUUCAACAAAGAACCUGGAAGGGAGGAAACAAAAGAGGUGGAGGGUGCCCUUUGGAAACAUGCCAACCAACAACAGUCUGUAGACCUUAUCUGGAUCUUGAUUCUAUCAUAUAAACUGCAGAAACGAAGCAAAACAACUUUUAUAACAUUUAUGAGACAAAUGGAAAUUUGAACGCUGGAAGCAUAUUUGAUGAUAGUAAGGACUUAUUGUUACCAACUGUGAUAUUUUACAUAAUGCUAUGGUGGUUAUGUUUUUAAAAAGUCCUUCUCUUUUAAAGGUACAUCCUGAAAACCUACAGUAAAAUAGUGUGGUAUCUGGAAUAUGCUUCAAAGAACAUGGAAGAGAGGGAGCAGUCGAGGUACUGACGUAGCGAGAUUGCCCUUGGAUGAUGGUUGGAGCUGGGUGAGGGGAUCUGCCGUGGCCUUAUAUUGUGUUAUUCUGUAUAAUUUUGUUCGUGUUUAAAAAUUUUAAAGUAAACAAAAUCACUGGAGAUGGGUUUUUCCUGAAUGAGGAAAUGGUGACAUGAGAGAGGCUGAGAAAUAGCUCCUUUCUAUCAGAUUCUGUUGCCAUAUUGUUUAAAAAAAGAAUCAGAAUUUUAAAAUUCACAGUCACUGUGGGUCAGAAGCAUUCCGUCUGCAUCCAAAGGAAGGGGCAGCCCUGUGGUCGGACAGCCCUGUGUUGAGGAGCCUGGUCGGGGAUUCGGAGAAGGCAAGUGCUGGAGAUCAGCUGACCUGGGAAACAGCCUCAGGGCGGGCGGAGACCAGCCUGCAGGGCGCUCCUGGGGAGAGCUUUCGGCAUCAUCAUGCGGUGAGGGCAGUGGGGGAGGCAGGAUUGGGCAACAGGAGAAGCUGAACUGAUACAGCUCUGGAGUAGGGUGGCCCUUCUGAGUUGUCCCAGUUGAAGCAAGGAGGCUAGUCUGUUCCUCCUUGUGGGUCUUUAGAAGUGGGUUGCCCUCAGGAGGGGCCGUCCCUUGGCGAGGCAGAUUCUUUAGGCUGAGAGCAAUUCCCAGGGAGAGCCUCAGCUGUGAUGGCCAACCCCCCCAGCCCACCCUCAGCAGAGGGGGAACCAGGGCCUCAGGCCUGAAGGGGGUCUGGGCAGUGCCCCACAGAGUCCACUACAUGUCACCACGUCAACUUUACUGCCUACUGAUCCGAAGAUGAUUGCUCCAGGGUGAAUAACACGUAAGAAUUACUCCCAAAGGGCAAGUCCUUACAUCAAAUUCCUGACAACACACCAAACCCAUACAAAGUGAUGAAAGGUUUUGUAUCAUCCACACUCUUUAUAUCUAUGUGGCACAUAGUACCUUAUAUGACUGCGGUCCCCAAGUCCCCUGGGGCUCCCAAAGUGGUGAUAGGGUCCUUUGAACUAUUCCUAGUACAAUUUUAAGGUGAAAUAUAACAUUAAAAUUUUAAAAUUCUUUUUAUUUUGAAAUAAUUUCAAAUUUGCUGAAAAGUUGCAAGUGCCAAAUAUUCCUAUAUAUCGUUUAUCCAGAUUCACCAAUUGUGAACACUCUACCAUAUUCACUUCAUCAUUUUCUUGUAUAAAUGCCAUACAAUGAUUAAAAUCAGGAAAUUCAGUAUUUAUACAAUGCUGUGAUCCAAUCCAUAGUCCACACUCAAAUUUCACCAACUCUCCCCAUAAUGUCCCUAAGAGCAAUGCUUUUCCCUCUGGCCCAGGAUCCAAUACAAGACUGGGUCUUACACUUAGUUGCCGUGUGUCCUCAGUCUCUUUCAAUCCAGCCAGUUUCCUCAGUCUUUCCUUACUUUCAUCACCUUGAGACGUUUGAAGACUGCAGGCAUCUUUGGUUGGAAUAUUAUAGAAGUGACUGUAUUAGUUUUCUAUUUUAAAAAAUUAGUUUUCUACAAGAAAUCACCACAAUUUAGCAGGGGAAAACAACACACAUUUAUCAUCUCACAGUUUCUGCAGGUCAAGACUCCGGGCACACUUUAGUGCUCCAAGAGACUGUUGGGCACACUUUUGUGCUCCAAGAGACCGUCAUCAAGGUGCAGUCAAGGGCUGAGUUCCCAUCUCGUGGCUCUCCUGGGGAAGGAUCCGCUUGCAAACUCACUGGGGUUGUUGGCAGGAUUUCUUUCCUUGUGGUUGUAGAACUCACACUUCUGCAAAGUCAGCAAGGAGAGCAAGACUCUAGAGGGAGUGCAAGCAAGAUGGAGACUUACACAGUGUAAGAUGAUCACAGGACGACAUCCCGUCACCUUUGCUGACUUCUUUGACAGAAGCAGGUCACACACUCAAGUUGAGGGGGUUAUACAAGGACAUGAAUGCCAGGAGGUGGGGAUCACUGGGGCCACAUUAAGUGCACCACAGUGAUGCUGUGUUCUCCUUGCUUCCUAUCGGGGGUCACAAUAUCCGUUAGUCUCCCUACUGGCGAUGAUAAGCUGGAUGUCUUGGUUAAGGCGGUGGCCAGCAGGCUUCGCCAGUCACUCUUUUCUCCUUUACAAAUAGUAAAUGUUUUGUGGGGAGAUACUUUGAGACAAUGUCAAUAUUGCAUUUUCAUCACACUUUUAAUUAAUUGAGAUCUCUAUGAACUUAUGAAUUCCUAUUUUAUUCAACAAAUAACAAUCCAUUACUAGUGCUCAAAUUGUUCCAGAUCUGCCCUGUGAAAGCCCUUUAAAGCCAGCCCCUGUGUCCUUUUAACAGGGAUCCAUCAUUUCCUAAGCACUUCCUUACUUUCUGGCUAUAUUACUUAUAUUUUUAUUUUCUGUAUGUUGUGAUUUUUUUUAAAUUGUGGCAACAUUGGUUUAUAACAAUACUAUGUGGUAUAUAAUAUAUAUAUAAUAUCAUGUAAAUUUCAGGUGUACAUCACUAUACUUCGACUUCUGUGUAAACUACGUCAUCUUCACCACCCAGAGUCUAAUCACCAUCCAUCGCGGUACACGUGUGCCCCUUACCCCUUUCGCCCUCUGCUCUCCUGCCUUACAUUGUGAUGUUUUGACGUCUGAAAAACCUUUCUGGCUGGGGAGAUACUACCCCUCCUGGGGCCAGCCGAUUCUUGGAGACAGCAAAGGCCCAGCCGGGAGCAUGCCUUUCAUAUGUGAACCCAUCGGUCCAGAGCCAGGCCUCCUCUAUCUGGCCCGUGACCCCAAGAGGCAAUAUUCCUCCACCUUGGUCAUCCCAGGGCCAGGGGCCAGGCAGCUAGGGGUCAUCCCUGCAGCUUAGAGCCCUCCAAAUUAUUCAAAUUAGCCCAUCCUAAAUUGUUCGCCCUGCCCUGCCUUGGCUUUCCCUGCAAAUUCCAAUAAAGGUAGGCCAGGCCCUUCCCUCACUCCUGCCCCUUCUGCCUCCUGACCACCUGGGUUCUUUUCCAUGUGGCUCCAAGUGGCAUGCUGUGACUCCUGUUUCGAGGACUGUGACUGUGGCUCAUUUUGUUUUCCCGAGCUUCACCUGUAUCUCCCCCUGUGGCCACACCUGACUGACCGUCAUAUAAAAGAACACAGAACCUGGCACAAGAUACUCCAGAAUUAACUUGUAUUUUCCUUGCUUCAGCCCUGGAAGGAAAGGCUGCACUUCUCCAAAGAGUCUUGGUUCCUUUUACUGGAAAAUGGUGUUUAGAAACCAAUCUCUGGGCGCUACUUAUAAUGGUAUUCACGCUAUGGCCGUACUUGUCCUCAUCCGACCAAGCCCCUGGGUUGGAGGCAAUGUGGCGUAGUGGUUAAGAGGCUGGACUCUGGAUCCAGACUGCCUGAAUUCAAAUCCUGGCUGCCACGGGCAGUUGUGAGGACUUGGGAGAGUCACUUAUACUCUCACAAUUUGAUCACCUGUGUGAUGAGGUAUAGCGGCACCCACCUCAAAAGGUUGUGGUGAGAAGUUAGUGAGAGGUACGUGUAAAGUUUUUAGAUUCAUGCCUGGCACAUAGUAAUUGCUCAGUAAGUAUUUGUUAAAUGAAUGAUCCUCUUCUUGAUCAGAAGCUCUGAUGGAAGAAUGAAAAUGAGGGGGAAAUCCUGGUCUACAUCCUUUUCGGAACAUAAAACGUGAGUUUGCCAGAGAUCUCCAUCCUCUUGUGGGAAUAUUUUUCUUUAAGAAUUCCCUACGAUAAUUUUUAGAUUGUCUUUAAUAUGUUGUGAGAAGCUAGAAGACAUCCCUGUGAAAUGUCACAUAUGUGAUUCUAGGAGAAAAUGCUUUCCACUCGUUUAUGUUCAUCUUCUUUCUUCAUUGAAAAAAAGUCAGAAAGGCACUCACACAAGCCUAGUGCCAAAUCUAGGCGUGACUUUGUGUCUGGGUCUCUGAUUCCUAAAAACGCCAAGUCAUCACAGAAGACACCCAGUCCAUCGAGAAGGCGGUCAGGAAGCUGGAGGAGGAGGUCGAGAAGGACAAGGCCCUGCAAGCAUUCUCCCCUGGUGUUCUCAUGAUGGGGAGCGGGAACCGCCAGAACCUGCAUCUGCGAAAGAAGACACAAGGCAAAGCAGGGGUUCAGCAUCCCCAGCUUGCUUAGAGAUGUCUUCUCCCCAACCGGCAUCUCCAGCCCAGAACCCUGGUUAAUUACUUGUGGGGACAGCUCUCCUGAAAGAUCUGACCGAAGACGCUUAUUUGGUUCCUAUUGAGCAAGGAAUAAGCACGUUAGAAAUAUCCCAGAUAAUUUUUAUGUUUCAAAUUGGUAUUUUGGGCCCUUUGUAAUUCUUCCUCAAGUUUCUUCCUCACCUUCUAAGUCUGAAAAAGUGAUUGCCAAAUCACGUAAAGGCAUUCUUGAAGAAUCAUGACUCCUUAGAGUCUUUUAGUCAUUUGAAACAGGCCAGGCUAACAGUUUAACUUGAAAACGAAGCGGAUUUCCCAUCAGGGUUCCCAUAGUAUGCGGCUGUGUUUUUGUAACCUAACACAAUGAAGGGAGUUGCCACUAGGUGAUUCAGCCAGUUAGAAUCUCAACUCCCCUUCUGGGGAGGAAAUGUGAGGCGUGGUGUUUGCAUUUGGUGCUGGUGCAAUGCUUACUUGGACUGCAGUACUCCCACAUCAAUGCCGGGCAGACGCUGCGAACAGGGAGGUGGGAAGUGAGGUCAACCCUCCGCCUUGGCCAGAAACAAGCCCAGUGGCCAACCCAAAUCUGUCCUGUUUCCUUAGUGUCUGUCUGUCUGUCUCUCUCACACACACCCCGCAAGUCUCGACUUGGCUCCGCUGCUGUCAUGCCCUUCUUGGUUCAGUUCCCUAGGGUUAAAUCAACAGCAGGUGAGUUUUCAGCUGGUUUAGCAUCAGUGGGGAAUUGCUCCUUGGAGUUUGACUGACAGCCACAGAAUCAGUUUGACUGCGAGUGGUGAGGCCUGGAGGUCAGGGCAGUGGGUUAACUCACCACCUUGGAAUGACGGCUCGGAGAAGGCUCACAUGGCCUCUUGUUUAUGCUUCAGUCUGAGUCUCUGAGAGCACGGAAGUCAUGGAAACGCCGAAGCAAAUGGACAGCAGGAAGAUUUUUCAUUCACAAUUCAACCACGAGGAAAGCUCCUCUGUCAGGGAUCCCUGGGAAGUGGUGUCCAAAAAUCAGGUCUGAGGCCACCACCCUCGCUUCUCAUCCCCGUUCGAGGGUCAAAGGCCAGCUGGGGAAGUCCUUUUACAUAUUAGACCAGAGCAAAGGAAAUGAACACAGGCUUUGUUACUUCUCUCCUAUACUGAACCUACGAAAAAAUAAGUUACUCUUGGGGCCGGCCCCGUGGCCAGCGGUUAAGUUCACAUGCUCCACUUCAGCAGCCCAGGGGUUUCGCCGGUUCGGAUCCUGGGUGUGGACACGGCACUGCUCAUCAGGCCAUGCUGAGGCGGCAUCCCACAUGCCACAACUAGAAGGACCUAUGGCUGGAAUAUACAAGUACGCACUGGGGGGCUUUGGGGAGAAGAAGAAAAAAAUGGCAACAGAUGUUAGCUCAAGUGCCAAUCUUAAAAAAAAAAGUACUUUUUUUUAACUUUUAAUUGUGC
rnacentral:lncRNA from 1 species